GUUUCGGAUGGAGGUGAAGAUGUAUGUCUAGGCGGCGGACGGGUGGGUAACGCGUGAGCAACCUGUCCCUUACAGGGGAGUAACACAGCGAAAGUUGUACUAAUACCGCAUGAGACCACGGGGAGACAUCUUCCAGGGGUCAAAGGAGCAAUCCGGUAAGGGGUGGGCUCGCGUCCGAUUAGAUAGUUGGUGAGGUAACGGCCCACCAAGUCGACGAUCGGUAGCCGACCUGAGAGGGUGAUCGGCCACAUUGGGACUGAGACACGGCCCAAACUCCUACGGGAGGCAGCAGUGGGGAAUAUUGGGCAAUGGGGGGAACCCUGACCCAGCAACGCCGCGUGAGGGAAGAAGGUUUUCGGAUCGUAAACCUCUGUCCUUGGUGAAGAGGAAGAGACGGUAGCCAAGGAGGAAGCCCCGGCUAACUACGUGCCAGCAGCCGC
rnacentral:rRNA from 1 species